rnacentral:rRNA from 1 species
GGGAUGACGUCAAAUCAUCAUGCCCCUUAUGUCUAGGGCUACACACGUGCUACAAUGGCUGGUACAGAGAGAUGCUAAACCGCGAGGUGGAGCCAAACUUUAAAACCAGUCUCAGUUCGGAUUGUAGGCUGGAAACUUCGCCUACAUGAAGCUGGAGUUGCUAGUAAUCGCGAAUCAGAAUGUCGCGGUGAAUACGUUCCCGGGCCUUGUACACACCGCCCGUCACACCAUGAGAGUUGGCAAUACCCAAAGUUCGUGAGCUAACGCGUAAGCGAGGCAGCGACCUAAGGUAGGGUCAGCGAUUGGGGUGAAGUCGUAACAAGGUAGCCGUAGGAGAACCUGCGGCUGGAUCACCUCCUUU